rnacentral:misc_RNA from 1 species
AUAAACUGAUCCCCCCUUGAGUCAUAAUAAGCUCUUGAUUAGCUUCAUUCAUCGCAAGAUUGGCAAUUGCACCUGCCGCAACUCUGCGAACAGUAUCAUCCUCAUAGCUUCUAAGAAGCAUCAGCAAGGAAGUAAGACCACCAGCUUCAACAAUCUUUUCCUGAUUUGCUUCUUCAGCAGCAAGGUUAGCCACCACUUUUACCGCAUGGAUUCGUGUAUUGGCAUCUUCUGAC